rnacentral:lncRNA from 1 species
GAAGAAAGCAAUGAGAGACGCGACUGCCAAUGUGCAACAAAAACAGAUCUGGCUGCCUCAGCUGCAAACAACUUCUGUCAACUCCUAGAAGCUGACACGAGGCACUGAGAGGGGUCCAAGCCAGAAGUCCAGAUUCCAAACAUCCCUGAACUUUGGUGAAGUUCAAAUCAGAGCACACAUCUUUAGUGAGAAGAGGAAAGCUGUAACAUGAUCCAAGCCCUGGGCAAUAGAGGCUUCUCCCACCAGGACAGCAGCAUGAGGGCAGGCACAGCAGCUCAGCAGCAUGGCUUGGAUUAAACCCUUGCUGAAUGGUGGAGAGAGAAAGGGAGAAAGACAAGACUAUCUGUUUUGGGAUACUGCAGCCAAGAAGCCAACAGAAAGGUUUACUGAAAUGUUUACAUGCAGAAAAGAGAAAAAAACCCCACCAGAAUAAAGUUCAAGCUGAUGCCAACAAACUGUGUUUGGUACGGUACAGCCUGUUGCUCACAGCUGCAUUCAGAGGUGAUUCUGAUGGGAAGUUCCUCUCCUUUUAAGGCUGCCACAAAGGGAUGAUAUUUUGUCACUGAAUAUGAGGUUGCAGAGUCUUCAUCCUUGGAGAUAGUCAAAAGCUGUAUGGACAUGGUCCUAGAUCACCUGCCCUCGCUGACCCUGCUUGGGCAGGGCACUCAGACCAGAUGAUCUGCAGAGAUCCCUUUCAACCUCAAUGAUUCCAUCAUUCUGUGGUCUUCACUAACAAGAAUGAUUUGUGAUGUUGGAAGAAUGUGCUACUAAUCACUUACAACUGAAUCUUGUGAAUGUGAUGUACAAUAAAAAGGAAGCUAAGUAUUUUUAACA